rnacentral:rRNA from 1 species
UGAACGCUGGCGGCGUGCCUAACACAUGCAAGUCGCACGAGAAAUCUCCUGCUUGCAGGAGAGAGUAAAGUGGCGCACGGGUGAGUAACACGUGGGUAAUCUGCCUCCGAAUUUGGGAUAACGUUGCGAAAGCGAUGCUAAUACCGGAUAACAUCCUAGGUGCUUCGGCACCAUGGAUCAAAGGUGGCCUCUACAUGUAAGCUACUGUUUGGAGAUGAGCCCGCGGGCCAUUAGCUUGUUGGUGGGGUAAAGGCCUACCAAGGCUGCAAUGGCUAGCUGGUCUGAGAGGAUGAUCAGCCACACUGGAACUGAGACACGGUCCAGACUCCUACGGGAGGCAGCAGUGAGGAAUCUUGCGCAAUGGGGGAAACCCUGACGCAGCAACGCCGCGUGAGUGAAGAAGGCCUUCGGGUCGUAAAGCUCUGUCAAGUGGGAAGAACCUGUUCGGUGAUAAUACCACCGAGCACUGACGGUACCACUGGAGGAAGCACCGGCUAACUCC